UAAGGGCGAGCCCCGCGCGACGCUCUGGGACUCAUCGCUACCACCAGGCCGGGACGCUGGACCCUGGGGUGUGACAGAAAAUUAUUGGCAUACUUUGAGUACCUUUGAGGUGCUGUGGAGGACUUGCUGAUUGAUCAGAAUCAGAAGAGGGGAUCAUUUAGUCCUUCACUUCAUGGGGAUCCUCCGGAGGGAGUAAUACAGCCACCAAGAAAGAUGCUGCUGGCGGACACAGUGACUGACAGGCUGCCCUGG